CUCACUGCUACUAGGAUGAGGCUGUUCCGUGUCCCUCUCAGUGGAUUACAGGUGUGAGCCACCUUGCCUGGUCUAGAUCCAUGAUUUUUCAACUGGACUAAACACUUUCUUCAGGUCUCAGCAGUUGUCUUACUAAUGGCCUCUUUCCCUUCCUGGACCUAAUCCAGGACACCAUGGUGCGUUGAGUGUCCAUGUCUCCUUAGUCUCCGCUGACUGGUGACAGUUUCUGGUCUUCUCAUGAUUAGACUGGGACUGCAGAAUUUUGGGAAGAACACCUAAGAGAUGAAGUGCCCUCAUCCUAUCACAUCCGGGAUGUGUGAUAUCAACAUAUAUGAGUCAUGUUGGAAAGAUGGACAAAUGGGGAUUCCAAAGCUGUUCAUCACAGUCAGCGAAUGGUAGAGGAAGGAUUUGAACUGGGGCCACUCUGAGAUGUGUGCUCAUUUCCUUAGUUUGAGAAAAAGAACUGUCUGGUGAGGAAAACAAGGAAAGACCUCCGGUAUUGAAGCAAUGGUGGGAGGUAGAAGUCUGCACCCAGAUGAGGUCCUUCAGGCGGGGUGGAUUUGCCACCUGUGGCCUCUUUCCCAGGACCUUGUCCAGCCUUGUCCUAGCUUCCCUCUGGUGCAAGUGGCACUAUCUUUUGUCCAUUACAUGGGAUUGUCCGGUCUUUGUGCCACUAGUGCAAGGAUGAAAAUAAUCCAAUAAUCCAUCAAAAAUGCAUGUUUCAUGAGAAUUCAAGUUAUACAAGAGUCGUACUAUGCCAGCCAGCAGUCAUAGGUCAUCUGUACCCUCCUCCCUGUCCUCCCUGCAACCCCGCCUUCAGAGUUCUUACCGGCUCUCCCAGUGGGAUGUCAGCAGAGGAGGCCGUCCACAUGGAAUUGGCUUAUGGCUGUUGGUGGCACUGGCUUUCCUUUACCUGCUGUGGACACCUUUGUCUCGUAGUCAUCAGGAAAAUCACUGUCACUGCAUCAGAAACGCUGGAACAUCCUGAAGUUUCAAAGCAGAAAUUCCAAACCAUGUCCUCUGGGCAGUAUUCAACUAGCAUAUGUGUUUCGUUUGGCCCUCACUUAAUUUAAAAAACUUAAAAUUAGUCCGCAACGUGAAAAAAUCAGAAGCUCAUCAUAAAAGACUGGAUUUUGGCUUCUUUUGAAAAAUCAGAUGUGGUAAUAGAUGGCCCACAUUCCUGCCUGGUGGCAUGAGGGCAAGCGGAGUGGCAGCUGCCCCGGUGGCUCGGGCACAUGUCCCCACUCCACCCCUGUCCUCUCCACUCUCCACGAAUCACCACCCCCAACCUCAUUCAUUGGUGGUGUCUGCCUGGCCUCUGAAGGCAUUUGAGUCCACAGCCCUUGCAUGAGAUUCUUGC
rnacentral:lncRNA from 1 species